rnacentral:rRNA from 1 species
AGAGUUUGAUCAUGGCUCAGGAUGAACGCUAGCUACAGGCUUAACACAUGCAAGUCGAGGGGCAGCAUGAUUCCAGCUUGCUGGAAUUGAUGGCAACCGGCGCACGGGUGAGUAACGCGUAUCCAACCUACCGUAUACUCAGGGAUAGCCUUCCGAAAGGGAGAUUAACACCUGAUAGAAUCUAAAGAUCUCAUGGUUUUAAGAUUAAAUGUAAAGGUAUAUGAUGGGGAUGCGUUCCAUUAGAUAGUAGGCGGGGUAACGGCCCACCUAGUCGACGAUGGAUAGGGGUUCUGAGAGGAAGGUCCCCCACAUUGGAACUGAGACACGGUCCAAACUCCUACGGGAGGCAGCAGUGAGGAAUAUUGGUCAAUGGAUGAGAAUCUGAACCAGCCAAGUAGCGUGAAGGAUGACGGCCCUACGGGUUGUAAACUUCUUUUGAAAGGGAAUAAAGUGUGGUACGUGUACCAUAUUGUAUGUACCUUUGGAAUAAGCAUCGGCUAACUCCGUGCCAGCAGCCGCGGUAAUACGGAGGAUGCGAGCGUUAUCCGGAUUUAUUGGGUUUAAAGGGUGCGUAGGCGGACGCUUAAGUCAGUUGUGAAAGUUCGAGGCUCAACCUUGGAAUUGCAAUUGAUACUGGUCGUCUAGAGAUUACAUAAGGUAGGCGGAAUUCGUGGUGUAGCGGUGAAAUGCUUAGAUAUCACGAAGAACUCCAAUUGCGAAGGCAGCUUGCCGGGGUACAUCUGACGCUGAGGCACGAAAGUAUGGGUAUCAAACAGGAAUAGAUACCCUGGUA